rnacentral:rRNA from 1 species
AUUGAACGCUGGCGGCAGGCUUAACACAUGCAAGUCGAGCGAGCGGCGGACGUGUGCGUAAUGUCUGGGACACUGCCUGAUGGAGGGGGAUAACUACUGGAAACGGUAUCUAAUACCGCAUACCAUCAGAUGUUCCCAGAUGGGUUUAGCUAGUAGGUGGGGUAAUGGCUCACCUCUGCGACGAUCCCUAGCUGGUCUGCGAGGAUUACCAGCCACACUGGAACUGAGACACGGUCCAGACUCCUACGGGAGGCAGCAGUGGGGAAUAUUGCACAAUGGGCGCAAGCCUGAGGCAGCCAUGCCGCGUGUGUGAAGAAGGCCUUCGGGUUGUAAAGCACUUUCAGCGAGGAGGCGUUACUCGCAGAAGAAGCACCGGCUAACUCCGUGCCAGCAGCCGCGGUAAUUC